rnacentral:tRNA from 1 species
CCCUGGUUAGCUCAGUUGGUAGAGCGCUCCACUUGGAAUGGGGAGGUCCCGGGUUCAAUACCCGGACCAGGCG